UUCAGUCGGGAGAGGGCGGAGGCGCUCGGAGUCUUCCGGACCCCCGCCAGGGGCCGGAGCGCCGUCGCAUCGACUCCGUCGCUCCCGACGCACUUCCUCCCGCACCUUGGACGCCGCAACCGGUCGGCGAGUCGGCCACGAGGGCGGGCGACGGCAGUUGGCCGGGGUCGGAGUGAGUUGUAUCUCUCCCCUCCCGGUUGUUAGCCAGCCCGUCCGCGGCGCGACGCCCGACCGAGGUCCGGCGCCUCCCCGCUCGCGGGGAGGCCGGCCGUCCCCUGUGUCUUUAUCAGCGGGCGUUCCGACAGGCGGCUUCCCGCACCGCCGGCGUCACUCCCCGCAGUGUCCCGGCAGUCGGAAGUCCGUCGCUGGUCGAGCAGAUCGUCCCGCGGGGGUCGUCCCGAGGUUGGCGGCGAGUAGGUCGGUCACCCACCCGACCCGUCUUGAAACACGGACCAAGGAGUCUAACAUGUGCGCGAGUCACUGGGUCUUGCCCAGGCCCAGAGGCGCAAUGAGAGUGAAGGGCCGCUCGCGGUUCGCGUUGGGACUCUCGCCGCGUCAACACGCGCGCGCGGGAGGCACCAACGGCCCGUCCCGUCCGACUCGUCGGUGGGGCGGAGUCCGAGCGUGCACGUUGGGACCCGAAAGAUGGUGAACUAUGCCUGGGCAGGAUGAAGCCAGAGGAAACUCUGGUGGAGGUCCGUAGCGGU
rnacentral:rRNA from 1 species